UACCAGCACCCCGAGUGGUCGGGACGUUUAUUGGGCCUAAAGCAUCCGUAGCCGGUUCUACAAGUCUUCCGUUAAAUCCACCUGCUUAACAGAUGGGCUGCGGAAGAUACUAUGGAGCUAGGAGGCGGGAGAGGCAAGCGGUACUCGAUGGGUAGGGGUAAAAUCCGUUGAUCCAUUGAAGACCACCAGUGGCGAAGGCGGCUCACUGGCCCGGUACUGACGCUGAGGCGCGAAAGCGUGGGGAGCAAACAGG
rnacentral:rRNA from 1 species